CUCAAAAGGCUGUAUAUUUUACGCACGGAUUCGCUGGAAACGAUGUCGCGGCUGAUCAGCAACCAGCCGCAGGGAUAAGGACUAUCAGGCAACCUGUACCGGAAUAGCUUUCGCGGUGCGCUUCAUUUCGUUGUCGCCUUCAAAAUAGGCCACUUUCGGACGCCAUGUACGCGCUUCUUCAUCAGACAUGGUGACGAAGCUGGCGAUAAUCACAAUGUCGCCAACUUCAGCACAGUGCGCCGCCGCACCGUUCACCGAGAUGAUUCUGGAGCCGCGUUCAGCCGCAAUCGCAUAGGUUGAGAAACGUUUCCCAUUGGUCACGUUCCAGAUAUCAAUCGCUUCGUUUUCCAGAAUACCGGAGGCAUCAAGGAAAUCUUGGUCAAUGGCACAAGAACCUUCGUAGUGCAGGUCCGCCUGCGUGACUUUUACGCGGUGGAGCUUGCCUUGCAGCAUGGUGCGAAUCAUAACUUCUUUACCCUGUCGUUUACCUUGGCUAAGCAGGCGCUUGUGGCCUGCUUUGGAAAUUCUCAGGCAGUAUUGCCCGAUUUUUAACCCCUGUCUACUGGGCUAAUGUAACGCUUUGAUUAUCGAUCAGACGCGCCUGACCCAGCCAGGCGGCGGCCAGAAUCACUGCGCGUUUGCUGGUUUCCGUCAGCUCCUGCAGCGUGUCGGCAUCACGGAUUUGAAUGUCGUCGGCACGGAAGCCUUUUUCAUUCAGUUCCUGUUCGGCAAUGGCAAUAAUCUCUUGCAGCUCACGAUUACCCGCAAUCAGUUUUUCAGCGAUGCUAUUCAUCACGUUGUAUAGACCCGGCGCAAUUUUGCGCUGCUCUGCGGUCAGAUAAGCGUUACGUGAGCUGAGCGCCAGACCGUCUUUAGCGCGAAUAAUCGGCACGCCGACGAUCUCAAUGUCAUAACUCAUAUCCGCCACCAUUUUGCGGAUCAGCGCCAGUUGCUGGAAAUCCUUCUCGCCAAAGCAGGCGAUAUCCGGCUGGAUCAGGUUGAACAGCUUGCUGACGAUGGUCGAGACGCCGCGGAAAUGACCCGGACGGCUGGCGCCUUCCAGCAUGGUAGAGAGGCCGGGAACAUCAACGUACGUUUGGCCUUCCAGCCCCUGCGGGUAGAUUUCCUCAACGGCUGGCGCAAAGACAUAAUCGACUUUGCGUUUGUUCAGCUUUUCACAAUCUUCCUGCAGCGUGCGCGGAUAACGCACCAGAUCGUCCGGCCGGUCAAACUGCAUCGGGUUGACGAAAAUGCUGACGAUCACCACAUCAGCCCGGGCUUUUGCCUCAUCGACCAGCUUCAUAUGGCCGUCGUGCAGGUUGCCCAUGGUGGGAACCAGUGCGACGCGUUUACCUUCCUGACGCAGACGACGAAUAUGCUGGCGCAGCAGCGGCAGGGUUUCAAUGAUUAGCACAACAAAACUCCUUGAGUUGCUUGAUGAUCCUGCCCGAUGGCGCUGCGCUUAUCAGGCCUACAUCCGUUGAGGAUCUGUAGGCCGGAUAAGACGCGUCGCGUCGCCAUCCGGCACGGUCAGAAAAAUUAGUGAAAGCUGUGUUCUUCGCCCGGAUAAACGCCGGACUCCACUUCAGCCAUAUACUGCUGUACGGCGGCGCGCAUGUCGCCCGCCUCGGCAAGGAAAUUUUUCGCGAAUUUGGGAAUAUGGCCGCCGGUGAUGCCAAACGCAUCGUGCAUCACCAGGAUCUGACCGUCGGUGACGUUGCCUGCGCCGAUGCCGAUCACCGGAAUCGACAGCGCUUCCGUGACGCGCUUCGCCAGCUCAACCGGCACGCACUCCAGCACCAGCAGUUGAGCGCCAGCCGCUUCUAAAGCCAGCGCGUCAUCCAGCAGCACUUGCCCUGCAUCGCCGCGGCCCUGAAUUUUAUAGCCGCCGAAGAUAUUCACCGACUGUGGCGUUAGCCCCAGAUGACCACAAACCGGCACGGCGCGUUCGGUGAGCAUUUUCACCGUAUCAACCAGCCAGGCGCCGCCUUCAAUUUUGACCAUAUUGGCCCCCGCACGCAUCACGAUAGCCGCGUUUUCACAUGCCUGUUCCGGGGUGGCGUAAGCCAUAAACGGCAGGUCGGAGAGCAAUAGACAGUUGGGCGCGCCACGUCGCACGGCACGAGUGUGGUAAGCGAUAUCUUCCACGGUGACCGGCAGGGUGGAGUCGUGCCCCUGAAUCGUCAUGCCCAGUGAGUCGCCAACCAGCAUCACAUUGAUACCUUCGUCGGCAAAUAACUUAGCGAAGCUGUAGUCGUAGGCGGUAAUUGUCGCGAAGCGUUUUUUCUCUUGCUUGCAUUUCUGCAGCAGUGAAAUGGUGGUGGGUUUCAUAACGUUUCCUGAUGGUAAAAGUUAUAUUUCCCGGCAUUCUAACAGUCAUAUUCAGGGGGGCAAUUGAUUUAAGCAAUCGUUUGGCGCUAAAGCAGUAAACGCUAAAGGGGAGGCGAUGUUUUACCAGUGGGCGGGUUUUGCAGCACCAAGAUGGGUGAGAUGCUGAUGCAGGCUGAUACCAUCCGGAAAGAUCAGAUCAGGAGCGAUUUCGAAUAACGGCCACAGCAUAAAACCGCGGUUUUUCAUGUCGUAGUGCGGCACGGUCAGAUGGUCGGUGUUAAUGACUUCAUCGCCAAACAGCAUAAUGUCGAGAUCCAGCGUGCGCGGCCCCCAGCGUUCGGCCUUGCGCACCCGGCCCUGUUGCAGCUCAAUGCGCUGGGUAUGGUUAAGCAAUUCUUCGGGGGCGAGAGCGGUAUCCAGCGCCACCGCAGCGUUCAGGUAAUCGGGCUGAUCCUGUGGGCCAAGCGGCGGCGUGCGGUAAAACGAAGAAACCGCGACGAUACGGCUAUCGGGAAUGUCGGCGAUAGCCUUCAGGGCGGCAUUGACCUGCUCCAGCGGAGAGGCCAGAUUACUGCC
rnacentral:rRNA from 1 species